rnacentral:rRNA from 1 species
UACGUAGGGUGCAAGCGUUGUCCGGAAUUAUUGGGCGUAAAGAGCUCGUAGGCGGUUUGUCGCGUCUGCCGUGAAAGUCCGGGGCUCAACUCCGGAUCUGCGGUGGGUACGGGCAGACUAGAGUGAUGUAGGGGAGACUGGAAUUCCUGGUGUAGCGGUGAAAUGCGCAGAUAUCAGGAGGAACACCGAUGGCGAAGGCACGUUACUGGGCUAUUACU